rnacentral:lncRNA from 1 species
UGCACCUGUGGGUACUCUGCUGAGUGAUGGUAUUUAAAACAGCCCCACGGGGAGGAUGUUUUCCUUCAGUUCAUAUCAACUUGUUUUGAGCAUUCUUCAGAUUUGUGACUUGUGAGGUUUUUUUUCUGACCUUGCGUUACUGGCCUGUGUGUCUUCAUGUUCUAUCUUGACUAUUGGGCUAGCUUGUAGCACCUUCGUUUAUGCAUUAAUUUUUUUCAUUUAAGCAAUUUUUGUAUAAAAACCUUUAGGUUCUAAACAAGCAGUGCUUUUCUGGAAAGUAAGUGUGAAGAUAAAAUCCUAUACUCCUAUGCUUGCUGCUUAUGGUGCCUAUGUGGAACUCAUGGGAUACUGUGCUUGAGUGACUGUUAAGGAAGCAAUUGCCUAUGGGCUGCACAGGAGAAGAGGAGUAGGACAAGUGAGCUAAGGGCUAGAAGAGAUUGAGGAAUAGGGAGCCUAUCAGAGAGGCUAAUGGCUUUGUUUGCUUAUCUUAUCAGACUGAGAAUGGAAAAGUGAAGCAUAGAAAAAAGCCCUAAGGGAGAAAAGCUGUUUAAGCUAUAAACUAAAUUUGGUGCAAUUAAUAGGGAGCUAAAGUCCAUCUAACCUUUGGGUUAUCUGCUGGUAACCAGUGCAAGCAGGUGCAGGGAGGCUGUGCUCCUUGCAUACCUACUCAACAAGUGUAAAACAGGAGCAGAUGCUGCUUGUGUCAGAGAGCGACCUGGGAGGCCAGAGGCAUGUUGGCCUUCUGAUGGAAUGACAGCCAAAGGCAAAGGGUAAGCUACAGAGGUCUGCAACUUCUAGGGCAUCAUCUUUUCCUCAGUGUGGCAGAGUGAGCGGUGCUGACGGAUGGUUGUUCACAGUGAAGCACUGCCCUUGCAUUUCUCAGAGCUCUUCAGUGCCAUACUUGACAACAAAAUGACAGAAGUACCCAUCAGAGAGAUCAACAAAUGAAGUGAAUCUUCCUGGAAAUAAGAAGGCCAAGGAAAAAAUGUAGUUAUUCCUGAACAAGUAUGUCAAGAAGCUGACUCAGCAGCUCAGGAUUUGCUCCACUGGGUAGAAGUCAAGGAAAGAGAAGCAAUUCUUGGGCUUCAUGAGUGUUAUAUUCUACCUUAAUGCAUCUUUUAACUGAUCUGUCAGAAAUAUUUCAGACCUAUUAAUCCUGAAAAUCUUCUUUCAGUUCGUCUGUGAUUCAUGCUGAUAGCUCUCCUCUCUUGGAGCAAUGAUAACAAUGCUUUAUAGAAUUCCUACACAGUAAAAAGCAGAUACUACCCUUAUGAGAGUGAUGAAUGCCAGAUGUUGAAUGUGCCAAAGUGAGGACAAAAGGCCCAGAGCCUUGAGCCUGAGGGCUGCUGAUGGGCAAUAGGAGACGUGAAAAACAGCAACAGAGGUUGUCUAAUGACAGUACUGGUAGUGCUUCCUUUCUACUGAUUUCU